GCUAACAUGGAGAACAAGCUAGGUACAGCCGACUAGCGCUAACAGGUUGCCAUGGAGAACAAGCUAGGUACAGCCGACUAGCGCUAACAUGGAGAACAAGCUAGGUACAGCCGACUAGCGCUAACAUGGAGAACAAGCUAGGUACAGCUGACUAGCGCUAACAGGUUGCCAUGGAGAACAAGCUAGGUACAGCUGACUAGCGCUAACAUGGAGAACAAGCUAGGUACAGCCGACUAGCGCUAACAUGGAGAACAAGCUAGGUACAGCCGACUAGCGCUAACAUGGAGAACAAGCUAGGUACAGCUGACUAGCGCUAACAUGGAGAACAAGCUAGGUACAGCCGACUAGCGCUAACAUGCUAUUAGCACAAAAACAAAAUGAC
rnacentral:lncRNA from 1 species